AUGUUGGCCGGGCGACGGUUGUCCCGGUUUAAGCGUGUAGGCUGGUUUUCCAGGCAAAUCCGGAAAACUAAGGCUGAGGCGUGAUGACGAGGCACUACGGUGCUGAAGCAACAAAUGCCCUGCUUCCAGGAAAAGCCUCUAAGCAUCAGGUAACAUCAAAUCGUACCCCAAACCGACACAGGUGGUCAGGUAGAGAAUACCAAGGCGCUUGAGAGAACUCGGGUGAAGGAACUAGGCAAAAUGGUGCCGUAACUUCGGGAGAAGGCACGCUGAUAUGUAGGUGAAGUCCCUCGCGGAUGGAGCUGAAAUCAGUCGAAGAUACCAGCUGGCUGCAACUGUUUAUUAAAAACACAGCACUGUGCAAACACGAAAGUGGACGUAUACGGUGUGACGCCUGCCCGGUGCCGGAAGGUUAAUUGAUGGGGUCAGCGCAAGCGAAGCUCUUGAUCGAAGCCCCGGUAAACGGCGGCCGUAACUAUAACGGUCCUAAGGUAGCGAAAUUCCUUGUCGGGUAAGUUCCGACCUGCACGAAUGGCGUAAUGAUGGCCAGGCUGUCUCCACCCGAGACUCAGUGAAAUUGAACUCGCUGUGAAGAUGCAGUGUACCCGCGGCAAGACGGAAAGACCCCGUGAACCUUUACUAUAGCUUGACACUGAACAUUGAGCCUUGAUGUGUAGGAUAGGUGGGAGGCUUUGAAGUGUGGACGCCAGUCUGCAUGGAGCCGACCUUGAAAUACCACCCUUUAAUGUUUGAUGUUCUAACGUUGACCCGUAAUCCGGGUUGCGGACAGUGUCUGGUGGGUAGUUUGACUGGGGCGGUCUCCUCCUAAAGAGUAACGGAGGAGCACGAAGGUUGGCUAAUCCUGGUCGGACAUCAGGAGGUUAGUGCAAUGGCAUAAGCCAGCUUGACUGCGAGCGUGACGGCGCGAGCAGGUGCGAAAGCAGGUCAUAGUGAUCCGGUGGUUCUGAAUGGAAGGGCCAUCGCUCAACGGAUAAAAGGUACUCCGGGGAUAACAGGCUGAUACCGCCCAAGAGUUCAUAUCGACGGCGGUGUUUGGCACCUCGAUGUCGGCUCAUCACAUCCUGGGGCUGAAGUAGGUCCCAAGGGUAUGGCUGUUCGCCAUUUAAAGUGGUACGCGAGCUGGGUUUAGAACGUCGUGAGACAGUUCGGUCCCUAUCUGCCGUGGGCGCUGGAGAACUGAGGGGGGCUGCUCCUAGUACGAGAGGACCGGAGUGGACGCAUCACUGGUGUUCGGGUUGUCAUGCCAAUGGCACUGCCCGGUAGCUAAAUGCGGAA
rnacentral:rRNA from 1 species